CUAUAGUUACUGAAGUUGAUAUUUGCUACUUUUCUUCUUUAUUUAAUUCAUAUAAUUUUUGAUUUUUUUCUUCGAAAAAUUUGUGGUGUUGAAAUAGGGAAUAGACACAGAUACCUAAGCACAUUUAACAAAAGAAAUUUUGUGUAAUGUCAUCAAUCUGUAUUACACGUAGACAGGAUGUUCUCUAGAAAACUUUACGUUUAUACACACCGGAGAGUACACGC
rnacentral:lncRNA from 1 species